UCUACCGCCCCAGUCAAACUCCCCGCCUGACACUGUCCUCGGAACAAGUCGCGCAGGCCGAAU
rnacentral:lncRNA from 1 species